rnacentral:tRNA from 1 species
UUUAUCUUGGCAGAUUAAUUGUGUCAAAUUUAGAAUUUGAGGAUGACUUGGUCAGGUAAUA